rnacentral:ncRNA from 12 species
GGGUGUUCGCCGCCAUAUUCGGAGGUGGGCAGGUUCUUACGCUGGUCGGGCCGCCAGCG